UACGGGGGGGUGCGAGCGUUGUCCGGAAUCACUGGGCGUAAAGGGCGCGUAGGUGGUUUGAUAAGGGUGUGGUGAAAGUCCGGGGCUCAACCCCGGAUCUGCCGUGCCGACUGUCAAACUCGAGGACUGUAGAGGCAGACGGAAUUCCGGGUGUAGCGGUGGAAUGCGUAGAGAUCCGGAGGAAGACCGGUGGCGAAGGCGGUCUGCUGGGCAGUUUCUGGACACUUGAUGCGCGACAGCGUGGGGGAGCAAACAGGGAGUUAGAAAACCCGGAGUA
rnacentral:rRNA from 1 species